UACGGAGGGUGCAAGCGUUAUCCGGAUUCACUGGGUUUAAAGGGUGCGUAGGUGGGCAGGUAAGUCAGUGGUGAAAUCUCCGAGCUUAACUCGGAAACUGCCAUUGAUACUAUCUGUCUUGAAUUAUCUGGAGGUGAGCGGAAUAUGUCAUGUAGCGGUGAAAUGCUUAGAUAUGACAUAGAACACCAAUUGCGAAGGCAGCUCACUACGGAUAUAUUGACACUGAGGCACGAAAGCGUGGGGAGCAAACAGG
rnacentral:rRNA from 1 species